CAAUAGCGUAUAUUUAAGUUGUUGCAGUUAAAAAGCUCGUAGUUGGAUUUCGGGUAGGAUUUGCCGGUCCGUCUUUGAGAUGUGUACUGGUAAGUCCUAUCUUCUUGUCGGGGACCAGCUCCUGGGCUUCACUGUCCGGGACUGGGAGCCGACGAAGUUACUUUGAGUAAAUUAGAGUGUUCAAAGCAAGCCUACGCUCUGAAUAUAUUAGCAUGGAAUAACACGAUAGGACUCUGGCUUAUCUUGUUGGUCUGUGAGACCAGAGUAAUGAUUAAGAGGGACAGUCGGGGGCAUUCGUAUUUCAUUGUCAGAGGUGAAAUUCUUGGAUUUAUGAAAGACGAACUACUGCGAAAGCAUUUGCCAAGGAUGUUUUCAUUAA
rnacentral:rRNA from 1 species